AAAAAGAAAAGAAAAGAAAAGAAGAGAACCGAAAUAUAGCUAUAUAUACCUCAGGUACAUACACGACCCAACGAACUUACCUACUUGAAAGUCCAGAGUUUCCAACCCCCAAAACUCUGAAUUAACGAACCAUCUAAAGAUAACUUAACAUAGGCAUGAUUGUAUGAGAAGAUGUGUAUUUUAGCAUUGUUUCUGUUGUAGUUGUUGUUCCUAUCCAACUGUACAUGUUAUUUAUACCUAAAUGGGUAAAGGUUUGCUGACCUGCCACACGGAGAAAUUAGUGGACCUCAGUUGAAAACCCUAACUUUAUAACAGAAGCCCUAACUUAUCCCCCCCCUUGCAAGAAAAGCAUAUAUACAGCACCCUAUAACUCAACAAGUUGUGCCAUCCAAUUUCAAUUUUACUUACUAAUUACUGAAAAACUGAGGAAGAAGAUGGCUAAGACUUCAAAGUCAAUCUGUCUUUCUGUGCUUUUUGUUAUGUUCAUCGUCUUUGCAGUUGUAGGUAAGAAAGAAGGAGUUUCUACAUGUACCGGAAACAGUUGUCAUGUAAUGUAAUAUUCCACGUGCUAUAAUACAGAUGGAAGACAUAGUUAAUAUAUAUGUCUUACUUCCAUAGUGCAUUAACAAGAAAAUAAAUACAUGUGUUAUAAUUUGAGUAAAAUGGUAACAUCACAUGAGUGCACAGAAAAAUCUCUAGUAAACUCCAUCGACCCUUUUUCUCCUUUUUCUUUUAUUUCGAUCUUCAAAUAUGACUAUAUAUGUUUCUUGCACAACGCAGAUAGCGGGUUUGUAGGAUGCCGUGAUUGGUCGUAUAGUAGCACCUGGCAGGGUACAUGCUUGUGGAGUCCAAACUGCAACAAGGCAUGCACAAAAGAAGGUGCAACUGCUGGAGCCUGCGUACUUUUCAAAUGUGUUUGCUACGAUGGUAAAGGUUGUCCGCAGGACCGCCUCCCUGCUCACUAGCGACACCUACAUGCACCAGAAAUACUCCAAAACUGCGUUCAACUUUCAAUGUAUAUGUAUGUACUUGACACGUAUUACAAUCGACUACGUACCUAUAGCUCCAUCUGUGUGUAAAUGAUCGAUGCAGUUUUUGUACUAUGUAUAUUACUUACGAAGGUUUCAUAUGUAAUGUUCGCUUACUCGUACAUAUAGUAAGCUAAGUGAUGUAAAAGUACGAUAAGUAUUUGUUGACCCUAAAAACUACAAAGCCUACGUGGCGCGCAGGCCGAGUAAUCUAUAAGCUAACUACGUCCUUCGGUGAUUGCGGGGCGUGCCAAC
rnacentral:lncRNA from 1 species